UACAGAGGUCCCGAGCGUUGUUCGGAUUCACUGGGCGUAAAGGGUGCGUAGGUGGCUUGAAAAGUUUGAUGUGAAAGCUCAGGGCUUAACCCUGAAAUGGCAUUGAAUACUGUCGGGCUGGAGGUUUGGAGGGGGGACUGGAAUUCUUGGUGUAGCAGUGAAAUGCGUAGAUAUCAAGAGGAACGCCAGUGGCGAAGGCGAGUCCCUGGACAACACCUGACACUGAGGCACGAAAGCUAGGGGAGCAAACAGG
rnacentral:rRNA from 1 species